GUUGAUGAUGAUAACCCGAAUAGGAAGUGCCGUCAGAUGCGAGAACUGACGAUAACCUCUUCGUUUGUCUGACA